AAAAGUGAAAGACGGUCUUGCUGUCACUUAUAGAUGGAUCCGCGCUGCAUUAGCUAGUUGGUAAGGUAACGGCUUACCAAGGCAACGAUGCAUAGCCGACCUGAGAGGGUGAUCGGCCACACUGGAACUGAGACACGGUCCAGACUCCUACGGGAGGCAGCAGUAGGGAAUCUUCCGCAAUGGGCGAAAGCCUGACGGAGCAACGCCGCGUGAGUGAUGAAGGUCUUCGGAUCGUAAAACUCUGUUAUUAGGGAAGAACAUAUGUGUAAGUAACUGUGCACAUCUUGACGGUACCUAAUCAGAAAGCCACGGCUAACUACGUGCCAGCAGCCGCGGUAAUACGUAGGUGGCAAGCGUUAUCCGGAAUUAUUGGGCGUAAAGCGCGCGUAGGCGGUUUUUUAAGUCUGAUGUGAAAGCCCACGGCUCAACCGUGGAGGGUCAUUGGAAACUGGAAAACUUGAGUGCAGAAGAGGAAAGUGGAAUUCCAUGUGUAGCGGUGAAAUGCGCAGAGAUAUGGAGGAACACCAGUGGCGAAGGC
rnacentral:rRNA from 1 species